UGUGACUUUUAUGGGGAUAUGUUGUAUUUUGGGGUACUUAUUGGACUUGUGUGGUUUUUCUGUCUGGGGAUAAUUAAAUUGUAUUAUCUACCUUAAUUGUCUCACAGGCAGAGGAGAGGGAUUGUGUACUGUGUGUGGGAGUGUCUUUCAUUGUUACACUGUUUUUAUUGCCUUGCAUGUUUUGUGUCCUGUGCCCAACAAGGUCCACCUGGGCGUCACCCUUGUUGGGAAACUUGUAUAAUAGGCCAGUGUGUCCCAUUAAACCUUGAGUUCCUGUUUAACCCUCAACACGUAGCCUUGUCUCGUGAUUGGAGGGGAACUGCUUUAUUCACACUGGGGAUUGCUAUACUCUUUAUACUCCCCUGGGUUUUAAUCACUAGCUCUUCUAAGAGCGGUU